rnacentral:lncRNA from 1 species
CCAUCGCAAGCAAUGCCGCUCCAACUACCAAGGCAAUAGGACUAGACCUUCAAAAUGCACAACUCAUCAGCACUUUAUCUCACCAAGUCACCAUGGAUAAAGCCUCUGACUCAAUGAUGCCACUCCAACUAUCAAUGCAAUAGGACCAGACCUGCAAGACACACAACACUCAUCAGCAAUUUAACUCACCAUGGAUAAAGCCUCUGACUGAAUUAUAUAUAAACUGAAAUCACAUAAUGAUAACAACAGUUAGCAUAACCUUGAGUGCCAUUGAUCGCAUUUUAGAACACGCAAAAGCCUCAUUCAGUGAAAAAAUCUAAAGAACAAAAAAACAACAGCAUGACCUGCUUAAUGACCUAAAAGAUACUAUAUCAUUUUUGUCCAUCACGGGCCUUGAACAUUUGUAUUCCUUAGUUGAUCUACUCAUCAAUUUGUGUUUGCUGAGGUAUGUAUAAUUAUUUGAAAGAUCAUCCAUGCAUGAUGUAUGAGUUGGCCACGACGCAAAGAAUAGUUAUAUCAGAGUUAAGAAAGACAAAUGAAUAAAUCAAGCUUGGGCUACGCCACUCAAAACAUAGUCUGUGUCAUAUUCAAUUAUGAUGACAUUAACUACCCAGAGUCUCCUCAUCUAGUAUCGGGAUGGAUAGCAGUUAAUGCAGAUAUUAACCCCGAUCUUGGAUGGUAAAUUAUAUUUUGGACUCCUUUCAACUAUGAAACCAAGGAAAAAAUCACGGUUAAUAAAAUGUAGAAGAUUAAAUAGCUAAUACAGUUGUGUUAAAAUAUGAUACAGGAGUAACUGUUGGGUUGCAACCUGAAACAUUCCAUCAGCGAUAAACCCUGCACCCAGUAAAAUUUGAAACAUCGCUCAAGGAAGGAGAUAAUUGGUACACUUACUUAGAAAUUGAACAGAUGAAGAAAAUUUGAUCACUUAAACAAUAAAUGAAGUAUGGUAGCUAUUAUUUCGGAUACUGGGAAGCUACAAAAUAGAACAUUACAUCAGGAAAGAAUAUGAGUCAUUUUGAUCGAAGUGUGUUAAAUUAAUCGGCCAGCAAUCUGGUGUAACCAAUAAUAGAGAUUUUAGCAGACAAUCUUUCAAAAGGAAUAGAAUAUCAUAUGCAAAUGCAUGUCAUGUGAGGGGACAAAGAAACUUAUGGAUCAUGUUGCUUGAGCAUCUUUCAUAGAGGGGAGUUCCCUCAAAAGAAUUGAACCUGCUGUUGUGAAGUCGUAAUGUUCAUACUCAUACAAGAAACAAUCAUAAUGGUUGUGUGCUAGAAGAUACAGAGUAUAGUUAUAGAAGAUCAGUCCUUAAAAUGCAUAUUCAAACCACAGGUUCCGCAAAAAGAGAACUCUAUAGGAGCCCAGGAGCUUGAGAAAUAAAAGAGGCAUUCAUCGUAACAAAACACACUUAUUUAAAUGAUUCGAGCUGUAUUCAGGGUCUGAUUGCGUGCUGCUGCUCCUGUUUAAAUGGUUUGAGCAAGUAUAACGUCUCUAGGUGCUCGCCAACCAUGGCCAAGCCAUCGCAAGCAAUGCCGCUCCAACUACCAAGGCAAUAGGACCAGACCUUCAAAAUGCACAACUCAUCAGCACUUUAUCUCACCAAGUCACCAUGGAUAAAGCCUCUGACUCAAUGAUGCCGCUCCAACUAUCAAUGCAAUAGGACCAGACCUGCAAGACACACAACACUCAUCAGCAAUUUAACUCACCAUGGAUAAAGCCUAUGACUGAAUUAUAUAUAAACUGAAAUCACAUAAUGAUAACAACAGUUAGCAUAACCUUGAGUGCCAUUGAUCGCAUUUCAGAACACGCAAAAGCCUCAUUUAGUGAAAAAUCUAAAGAACAAAAAAACAACAGCAUGACCUGCUUAAUAACCUAAAAGAUACUAUAUCAUUUUUGUCCAUCAUGGGCCUUGAACUUUUGUAUUCCUUAGUUGAUCUACUCAUUGAUUUGUGUUUGCUGAGGUAUGUAUAAUUAUUUGAAAGAUCAUCCAUGCAUGAUGUAUGAGUUGGCCACGACGCAAAGAAUAGUUAUAUCAGAGUUAAGAAAGACGAAUGAAUAAAUCAAGCUUGGGCUACGCCACUCAAAACAUAGUCUGUGUCAUAUUCAAUUAUGAUGACAUUAACUACCCAGAGUCUCCUCAUCUAGUAUCGGGAUGGAUAGCAGUUAAUGCAGAUAUUAACCCCGAUCUUGGAUGGUAAAUUAUAUUUUGGACCCCUUUCAACUAUGAAACCAAGGAAAAAACCACGGUUAAUAAAAUGUAGAAGAUUAAAUAGCUAAUACAGUUGUGUUAAAAUAUGAUACGGGAGUAACUGUUGGGUUGCAACCUGAAACAUUCCAUCAGCGAUAAACCCUGCACCUAGUAAAAUUUGAAACAUCGCUCAAGGAAGGAGAUAAUUGGUACACUUACUUAGAAAUUGAACAGAUGAAGAAAAUUUGAUCACUUAAACAAUAAAUGAAGUAUGGUAGCUAUUAUUUCUGAUACUGGGAAGCUACAAAAUAGAACAUUACAUCAGGAAAGAAUAUGAGUCAUUUUGAUCUAAGUGUGUUAAAUUAAUCGGUCAGCAAUCUGGUGUAACCAAUAAUU